UUUAAAAUUAUUGCCUAAUCC
rnacentral:misc_RNA from 1 species